rnacentral:lncRNA from 1 species
CUGGGAGAUAUGGCGUGGGAGGAACGCUGGAAUGUUUUCAAAAGAUCUUGUGGACUUUUCAGAGCUGGGAGGUACUCUGGUCGAGGAAACUGAAGGACCAGCACAUGCGCUUAUCUACAAGGCUACAAACUUUGUGCCAAAAACCUCCUCGAUCCAUUGGGUUUCUCUGGUCCGUGUCACUCGUGUUGCUUUAACUUCUCUAUUUUCUUCCUGUAACUUCACUCCCUCUACCUUCUG